AGGGCACCACCAGGAGUGGAGCCUGCGGCUUAAUUUGACUCAACACGGGAAAACUCACCCGGCCCGGACACUGGAAGGAUUGACAGAUUGAGAGCUCUUUCUUGAUUCAGUGGGUGGUGGUGCAUGGCCGUUCUUAGUUGGUGGAGCGAUUUGUCUGGUUAAUUCCGAUAACGAACGAGACUCUAGCCUACUAAAUAGAUCGUUGGCUUACAAACGCCAAUCAGACUUCUUAGAGGGACAGGCGGCGAUUCAGCCGCACGAAACAGAGCAAUAACAGGUCUGUGAUGCCCUUAGAUGUCCGGGGCCGCACGCGCGCUACACUGAAGUGAUCAGCGUGCAUUCUCAGCCUACUCUGCCAAGAGUGGGAAACCCAAUGAACCUUCUUCGUGAUUGGGAUAGGAGAUUGUAAUUAUUCUCCUUGAACGAGGAAUUCCCAGUAAGCGCGAGUCAUAAGCUCGCGUUGAUUACGUCCCUGCCCUUUGUACACACCGCCCGUCGCUACUACCGAUUGAAUGUUUU
rnacentral:rRNA from 1 species